rnacentral:rRNA from 1 species
UGCCAGCAGCCGCGGUAAUACGGGGGUCCCAAGCGUUGUUCGGAUUCACUGGGCGUAAAGGGUGCGUAGGCGGCAGAAUUAGUUUGGUGUGAAAGCUUCGGGCUCAACCCGGAAAAUGCACUGAAUACUGUUCUGCUAGAGGGUCGGAGAGGAGACUGGAAUUCUAGGUGUAGCAGUGAAAUGCGUAGAUAUCUAGAGGAACACCAAUGGCGAAGGCAGGUCUCUGGACGAUUCCUGACGCUGAGGCACGAAAGCUAGGGGAGCAAACAGGAUUAGAUA